AACGAACGCUGGCGGCAGGCCUAACACAUGCAAGUCGAGCGCGCCCUUCGGGGUGAGCGGCGGACGGGUGAGUAACGCGUGGGAACGUGCCCUUCUCUGCGGAAUAGCCUCGGGAAACUGAGAGUAAUACCGCAUACGCCCUUUGGGGGAAAGAUUUAUCGUAGAAGGAUCGGCCCGCGUUGGAUUAGGUAGUUGGUGGGGUAAUGGCCCACCAAGCCGACGAUCCAUAGCUGGUUUGAGAGGAUGAUCAGCCACACUGGGACUGAGACACGGCCCAGCCUCCUACGGGAGGCAGCAGUGGGGAAUCUUAGACAAUGGGGGCAACCCUGAUCUAGCCAUGCCGCGUGAGUGAUGAAGGCCUUAGGGUUGUAAAGCUCUUUCAGCUGGGAAGAUAAUGACGGUACCAGCAGAAGAAGCCCCGGCUAACUCCGUG
rnacentral:rRNA from 1 species